AGACGGUGGACUAGGAAGACGCGUAAUUCGUGUCUCCGCACAACUAGGGCACCUACAAGGCACUGGUGGGGGACCAUGGACGACUAAGGGAACGGGAGGAACCUCCAGUGACCGGAUGAACUGGGCUGUGAGCUGUACUCUCUUUGACCUGUGAGAUUUUUGGAGGCUCCUUGAAUCUUGUUCAAACAUGAACCUGGGAAACUCCAUGUCCUAAUUCAAAGCUUCCUGACUGAACUCAGUGGAACUCCAGCUAAGGAAUUAAGUUGGAGGACAGCUAACAGAGGAGCAUAUGACACUACACUGAAAAACCAAAAGAGCUUGAUUAAGUUGAGGAGAGAAACAGCAGAUGGUCUUCAUGGAGGGAAGCCGCCAAUGACCACCAUCUCCUCAGUCUGUGACGGAUCUGCACUCUGAGGGUAGGCCUUCUGACAGCCGCCACUGGGCCAGGCGCUGCUUGAACCAUUUCUGGAGGAGGGAAAUGUGCAAAAUUACCUGUCACAUACUGAAAAACUGAAAUGUUCAUUCCCUUUCUAAAAGUAGCUUCUGUGGCCCAGCUGGAAAAGAGGAAAGCAGUCUGAGUC